GGCUAUUGGGAAAGUUGAAAAAGAAAAGAUAAGCAUUGAGCUAAUGUGUUGAGCAAAACAUGAAAAGAUGAAAAAGACAGAAAAUAUAGAAAAGAUAGAAUGGGAAGAAAAGCUCAAUGCAAAGAAAAGGGAAACUUGGAGAUGAGUGAGAUUGGUUAUUAAAAAGAGAUUGUGUUUGAACUAUGAAUGUUGAAUAACUCUUUUAACUCAAGGAUUUUGUGAUCCAGAAAAACCAAUGUU
rnacentral:lncRNA from 1 species